UACGAAGGGGGCUAGCGUUGUUCGGAAUCACUGGGCGUAAAGCGCACGUAGGCGGCUUGUUAAGUCGGGGGUGAAAUCCUGAGGCUCAACCUCAGAACUGCCUUCGAUACUGGCAAUCUCGAGUCCGGAAGAGGUUGGUGGAACAGCUAGUGUAGAGGUGAAAUUCGUAGAUAUCAAGCGGAACACCGGUGGCGAAGGCGGCCUUCUGGACGAUGACUGACGCUGAGACGCGAAAGCGUGGGGAGCAAACAGG
rnacentral:rRNA from 1 species